GACGAACGCUGGCGGCGUGCCUAAUACAUGCAAGUAGAACGCUGAAGAGAGGAGCUUGCUCUUCUUGGAUGAGUUGCGAACGGGUGAGUAACGCGUAGGUAACCUGCCUUGUAGCGGGGGAUAACUAUUGGAAACGAUAGCUAAUACCGCAUAACAAUGGAUGACACAUGUCAUUUAUUUGAAAGGGGCAAUUGCUCCACUACAAGAUGGACCUGCGUUGUAUUAGCUAGUAGGUGAGGUAACGGCUCACCUAGGCGACGAUACAUAGCCGACCUGAGAGGGUGAUCGGCCACACUGGGACUGCGACACGGCCCAGACUCCUACGGGAGGCAGCAGUAGGGAAUCUUCGGCAAUGGGGGCAACCCUGACCGAGCAACGCCGCGUGAGUGAAGAAGGUUUUCGGAUCGUAAAGCUCUGUUGUAAGUCAAGAACGAGUGUGAGAGUGGAAAGUUCACACUGUGACGGUAGCUUACCAGAAAGGGACGGCUAACUACGUG
rnacentral:rRNA from 1 species